rnacentral:lncRNA from 1 species
GUUUUGUUUACUUUGAUUAAUCAAUAUGUUAGAGCUCUCUGUGGGGUUUUGCAAAGCUGACAUGUCCAGUAUAUAUACAUUAAGGAGAAAAUAUCUCAGCAACUUAAGGUCUUAUGCUAUGAAGCCCAGUGGGCAUAAGUUUAUUGCUUUAGAUGUUGGCUUUUUUUUCCUCCUUAAAUUAACUGAAAACAGCUUGGAAAGAACUUCACAGUAACUUUCUGGCUCAUCAGCACAAGGACAGCCUAGGACCUACUGGCAGAAAUGUCAUAGGAAACUUAUAUUCAUUGUUCUCCAAUUUGGAUCAAUUAAAUAGAACAAUACAAGGGACUUUUUUCAAUUACAGUAGAAGGCCCUAAGCAAUCUGUUGGAUGGGAAUUUUUAAGAUUCAUGUUUGCUGUGUUUAAAAGAGAAUAAUCUUCACUUGGAGUUUAAAAAGAUGAAAACAGUGAGACCUCCAGAGAGCAGAGGACAAGUCCUCUUUUCAGGGCAGUGUCCUUUCCUCUCCUGAAAGCAGAACUACAGUUUUCUUGGAAAAUAAAUAAAUGAAUGAAGAGCUAACCUGAAGCUAGCAACUUCUAGCGGCCAUUGGUAAUAAAGCGUCUCUAUCCCUUUCUCAAAUCAACCCAAGAACACAGCCCACAGGAAGUAUGUGGAAUGAGGGCAGACAGAGAGGUCACAUGAAGUGGUGGCACAAAAGGGAGAAACCAGGUAUGAUGACUGGAGCUGUUGCACUCAUCUUGUGACCAUGAAGAAAGGGUGCAAGAAAGUACAGAGACUGUAUCAUGGAUCUCCUUAAAGAGUGCCAGAAUUGACAUUUGUCUACACAGCUCACUAUGUGCGAAAUAUAAGACUUCAUACAUUUGAUAUGGUAUCACUGGUUUAUUUUUGUUGUUACUUACAGCAAGAAACUUUCCUAACUUAUACAACUACUGCCAUCGCUCUAUCAAACACUAAGCUAAUGAAUCAUAUCUGAAACCUGAAAUGUGUCAACAAAAGAUACAGCAUCUUGGAUUUCUGGAUUUCUACUCCAUUCCUUUAUUUUAUUUUUGCAUUUAUUUCUUCUUUCUGAAGAAAUAAGGAAUUAUUUCUUUCAGGUAUGGAACAACAUUUAUGUCUGGUUUUUAAAUAUCCCUAAAAUAUGUAAUCAACCUGUCUCUUCUGAGUAACGAUAAUUGUCAGGUGUUGGGAAACUUCAAACUCAUGGUAAUUAAACCAUCUUCUGGUUCUUUUAAUAUUGAGAAAUAUUUGAAAUUGAAGUGAUAGGCUCAAUAUCUUCUAAAUAUCAUUAAGAUGUGCCACUUGUAGAAAGCAUUUGAAAUCAUGGAAAUAGUCUUUACUGGAAUUAGCCAUAAAGAAAAAUUUUCCUUCACUUUAAAAAAAUAAUAAUGUGAGCACCUUUAUCCUCAAAAGCCAGCACACUUCAGUGUAAAAAAAAAAAAAAAAAAAAGCAGAGAUGUAUAUUCAUGUUGCAUUUUUGGCACCAAACACUAAAAAAGCUAUACACUCAGCCAUGAUUUGAUCAUAAUCUUGAUUUUCACUAUUUCUUUCAAAAAUGAAUUAAAAAAGAGGUAUAUUGUUGAUCACCAACAAUUCUCUGAAAAUAAAGUGGAUAAAUAUUGAGGUAGAACAUACUCGUCU